UUACCUACGGGGGGCAGCAGUGGGGAAUAUUGCACAAUGGGGGAAACCCUGAUGCAGCGACGCCGCGUGAGUGAAGAAGUAUUUCGGUAUGUAAAGCUCUAUCAGCAGGGAAGAAGAAGGACGGUACCUGAGUAAGAAGCCCCGGCUAACUACGUGCCAGCAGCCGCGGUAAUACGUAGGGGGCAAGCGUUAUCCGGAUUUACUGGGUGUAAAGGGAGCGUAGACGGCGAAGAAAGUCUGAAGUGAAAGCCCGC
rnacentral:rRNA from 1 species